AGUCGAGAAUAGUCUACAAUGGGGGCAACCCUGAUAGUGCGACCCCGCGUGNAUGAAGAAGCAUUUCGGUGUGUAAAAUCCUUUUCUUUGUGAGCAAUGUUUGUAAGAUCAAUAGUUUUACGAAAGAGAUAUUAGCAAAGGAAUAAGCUCCGNCUAANUCCGUGCCAGCAGCCGCGGUAACACGGGGGGAGCGAGCGUUGUCCGNAAUUACUAGGCGUAAAGGGCAAGUAGGCGGAAUAGUAAGUCAGAUGUUAAAGGCACCGGCUCAACCGGUGUACGGCAUUUGAUACUGUUAUUAUAGAGUAAGGUGGGGGAAGAUGGAAUUCCUGGUGUAGCGGUGGAAUGCGCAGAUAUCAGGAAGAACACCAGAGGCGAAGGCGAUCUUCUAUACCAUUACUGACGCUAAAUUGCGAAGGUGUGGGUAUCAAACAGGAUUAGAUACCCUGGUAGUCCACACAGUAAACGAUAUACACUUGGUGUUGGGGGAGAUGAUCUUUCAGUGCCGUAGCUAACGCGUUAAGUGUAUCGCCUGGGGAGUACGAUCGCAAGGUUA
rnacentral:rRNA from 1 species